UUCUAUUCACCUGUCAUUUUAAAUGGACUUAAUAUACUGCAAUAUUCUAGUGUAAUGUUGGGCUCCUGUAACUCACAGAAGUCUAGAUAUAGAUAUAGAUAUAUAGAUAUAUAGAUACAUACAGAUACGGAUAUAGGUAGAUAUAGGUAUAGAUAGAUAUAGAUAUAUAUAGAGAGAGAUAUAGAUAUGUUUGUAAAUAUUUUGAGUAUUUUAAAUACCUAAGUAAAAAUGCCCAAGUUAUAGAUUAACAUCACCAAGUGGUUUUGAAAAAAUUUAGCUAGGGACAAGCCUUUAGCUACAUCAGAUAAGGAUUCUACAAAAUUUUGUAGACUCAUUCUAUAAAAUCAUCAGUGCUUUUCUUCCAAUAAGCUUAUAAAAGUACCGAGAAUGCUUUUCCAAGCAAAUGUUUUCUAACAAUUCUGAAACUGCUCUUUACCAGGCAUGUUCAAGUCCUGCCUUUUUAUUAAUAGUCUCUCUAAAUCCAAGUUGAUUAAAUAUAGUUAAAAGGAGAGAACUAUUUGAGACCAAACAUGGUAGUGCAACUUGGUAACUCUUGUUUCAUUUGCUGUGCCAUCCAGACCAAAAAAAAAAAAAAAGUCAGUAAAUAAUCAAUAAGAGGCCAGGUGCAGUGGCUCAUGCCUCUAAUUCCAGCACUUUGGGAGGCCAAGGCGGGUGGAUCAUGAGGUCAGGAGUUCGAGACCAGCCUGGUGAAACCCUAGCUCUACUAAAAAUACAAAAGUUAGCCAGGCAUGGUGGCAUGCACCUGUAAUCCCAGCUGCUUGGGAGGCUGAGGCAGGAGAACUGCUUGAACCCAGGAGACAGAGGUUGUAGUGAGCCAAGAUCAUGCCACCGCACUCCAGCCUGGGUGACAAAGCAAGACUCCAUCUUGAAAAUAAUAAUAAGAAGAAGAAAUAAGAAAAAAUGUUUAUCAUAGUUUAUAUACAUUGUGCCACAGAAAAAUAUAACUGACAUACAGAUGUAGACCAUUGCUUUGUAUUUUAGAAUGAGUUCUGGUAAUGUUUAGAGGAAAGAGAUUUACCUUUAUUUUCAGCAUUUCCAUAAACCUUUCAAAAACCUCUAAUCUCUUAAAAGUACAAGAUGAAGAACUACAUUAGAAAUUUCCCAAUAGGCAACCACAAAAAUAUAAUAUUACCACUUAAAACCAACAUUAUUCCUCCUCCUUGUUAGAAUGUGGCACAUUUGAGCAUCAGAUACAAUUAAAUAUAUUUGAAGACUAUAACUGAAUACUUUCUAUGUGAGAAGUAGAAAAAUGUCAUGCUUGAAAUAGGCAAAUAAAAAAACUGAAAAGUAACCAAAUAUAAGACAGAGAUUCUGCAAUAAGCCAUGUCUUCAGCAUUUUAAAAGCUGAAGCCACAGCUUUUUAUUGUUGUUCAUAUGUCUUAAGAGUAUUUCCAAUUGGCAAAGCAAUGACAAGGUGCAUAUACUUUUUCAUACUUUUUGUUAUUUGUACAAAGCUAUUUUGGUUAACUCCAUAAAAACACAGGGAAAUAGAAGCUUGAGGCCACCACUGGAAUUAUUUAAAACACAAAGAAAACCCAUGUGUUUCAUUCACACAGCAAUUUGGGGUGAAUGUGGUUUUCAGCCAAUAUUUUCCAGAAAAACCACUUAAUCCCACAAGUUUCUUCUGAGUCUGAGACUCAACCAGAAUCCCAGCUGACUGGCUUCAUUCAGUCUGGAGACCCAAACUGGUCCGGGAUAUGCACUUAACAUUUUUCUGAACCCAGCCAACGGCUUCCUCUGCACAAAGGAGAAGAGGAACAAUGGAAGCUCUCUCUGUGUUCAUCAUCCAGAUACCAUCUCGGAACCUCCAUAAAAUAUGAUAAAGGACCUUCCUGUUCCAGUCUCUGCCUCCAAAGAGAAACACACCUUUUAUGGAUUUCUAAACUCAGCCAGGGCUGUUGGGAAAACACUCACUUAUCUAUACCAACAAUAACACUGAGCACUUUAUUGAGUGCUUACCAUGUGUUAAACACUUCACGUGCAUCAUAUUAUCUAAUUUUCAUAAUCACCCUAUGAAAGAGGCACUAUCAUGCUUUCCAUUUUACAGGUGAGGCUCGUUGAGGUUAAGUACCUUGCCCAAGGUCACACAGCUGGUAAGUAGCAGGGCCAGGAUUUAAGCCUAAUAGUCUGCAGAGCCUCCUAUGGUAUUUUAUACAAGGCUUUGCACGCAAAUCUCUUUAAGUAGCACCUUUUACUAUCAUUCCACUUCCCUGGAUCCAACAGAUUCGACAGCUUGGAAUCAUUAGAAAAAUAAAAGCACACAGAAAAGCAAAUCAAAUAGAUCUGAAAUAAAAACAUUGCUUUAAAAUACCUGUUUUCAAUCUCAUAACGAAUAAGCACGAGAGGGAAAUCAACCCUUCGGUUAAAUUUUUUGUUUGUCUUAAAAACUACUGGACAUCAAACUGCCUUACUAAUUCUGAUCUAAUCAUCGUUCUGUAACUUUGAGUCACAGUUAGAGCAGAGCAGCUCUUAGAAAAAGAGCAAGUGAGAAUGAGACUAGCCUCCUACCUUUCUACUAGAAAUAGUAACAGUAGCAGCAAGCACUUAAAUCUGCCAAGGGCACUUCUAGGAAAAUUUCUAAACCAUCUGUCCCCUGAAAAGAACAGAAUUUAACU
rnacentral:tRNA from 10 species